rnacentral:rRNA from 1 species
UACGAAGGGGGCUAGCGUUGUUCGGAAUUACUGGGCGUAAAGCGCACGUAGGCGGAUACUUAAGUUAGGGGUGAAAUCCCGGGGCUCAACCCCGGAACUGCCUUUAAUACUGGGUAUCUCGAGUUCGAGAGAGGUGAGUGGAAUUCCGAGUGUAGAGGUGAAAUUCGUAGAUAUUCGGAAGAACACCAGUGGCGAAGGCGGCUUUCUGGAUCAUAUCUGACGCUGAGGCGCGAAAGCGUGGGGAGCAAACAGG